rnacentral:rRNA from 1 species
GAUGAACGCUUUCUUCUUUCCUAAUACAUGCAAGUCGAGCUAACAGACGAGGAGCUUGCUCCUCUGACGUUAGCGGCGGACGGGUGAGUAACACGUGGAUAACCUACCUAUAAGACUGGGAUAACUUCGGGAAACCGGAGCUAAUACCGGAUAAUAUAUUGAACCGCAUGGUUCAAUAGUGAAAGACGGUUUUGCUGUCACUUAUAGAUGGAUCCGCGCCGCAUUAGCUAGUUGGUAAGGUAACGGCUUACCAAGUCAACGAUGCGUAGCCGACCUGAGAGGGUGAUCGGCCACACUGGAACUGAGACACGGUCCAGACUCCUACGGGAGGCAGCAGUAGGGAAUCUUCCGCAAUGGGCGAAAGCCUGACGGAGCAACGCCGCGUGAGUGAUGAAGGUCUUCGGAUCGUAAAACUCUGUUAUUAGGGAAGAACAAAUGUGUAAGUAACUAUGCACGUCUUGACGGUACCUAAUCAGAAAGCAACGGCGAACUACGG